AACGAACGCUGGCGGCAUGCCUAACACAUGCAAGUCGAACGAAGCCUUCGGGCUUAGUGGCGCACGGGUGCGUAACGCGUGGGAAUCUGCCCUUAGGUACGGAAUAACUCAGGGAAACUUGUGCUAAUACCGUAUGAUGUCGAGAGACCAAAGAUUUAUCGCCUAGGGAUGAGCCCGCGUAGGAUUAGCUAGUUGGUGGGGUAAAGGCCUACCAAGGCGACGAUCCUUAGCUGGUCUGAGAGGAUGAUCAGCCACACUGGGACUGAGACACGGCCCAGACUCCUACGGGAGGCAGCAGUGGGGAAUAUUGGACAAUGGGCGAAAGCCUGAUCCAGCAAUGCCGCGUGAGUGAAGAAGGCCUCGGUUGUAAGA
rnacentral:rRNA from 1 species